GCGGCCGCGCUGGUUCUCCUUGAGGUCCAGGUAGUACUUGCGGUUCUCGCGCACCAGGAACUCGCUCUUGAGCGCGCGGCGCGGCCCGCCGCCCUCCUCGGCGCCCGCCGCCAGCUGCUCGGGGCUGCUGGGACCCAGCUGCGCGUAGUGCUCGAUGAAGUCGCCCAGCGAGUCGCGGAACUCGGCGGCCACCGCCAUCGACAGCGUGAGGCGGCUCUUGGAGCCGCCCGCGCCCACCUCGGCGAUCUUGAGGAAGCGGCCCUUGGCGUUCUGCUUCACGUCCAGGAUCAGAAAAGAAGUCCACCCAAGCCUUGCGUAUACCUCAGUACUGCUCUGUCCUCAGAGUACAAAAAGAGGACCCAGGUUCGAGUCUCGGAACACACACAUGGCAGCCCAUAGCCAUGUAUAAUUCCAGUUCCAGGGGAUCCAGCACCCUCCUCUGGCCUUCUUGAGCACCUGCACACACAUG
rnacentral:lncRNA from 1 species